rnacentral:rRNA from 1 species
CUGGCGGCGUGCCUAAUACAUGCAAGUCGAACGCUCCUACCGGUGCUUGCACCGGGAAAGAAGAGUGGCGGACGGGUGAGUAACACGUGGGUAACCUACCUACAAGCGGGGGAUAACAUUCGGAAACGGAUGCUAAUACCGCAUAGAUCUUUUUGUCUCCUGGCAGAAAGAAGAAAGACGGUUUCGGCUGUCACUUGUAGAUGGACCCGCGGCGCAUUAGUUAGUUGGUGAGGUAAUGGCUCACCAAGACGAUGAUGCGUAGCCGACCUGAGAGGGUGAUCGGCCACACUGGGACUGAGACACGGCCCAGACUCCUACGGGAGGCAGCAGUAGGGAAUCUUCCGCAAUGGACGAAAGUCUGACGGAGCAACGCCGCGUGAGUGAAAAGAAGGUUUUCGGAUCGUAAAACUCUGUUGUUAGAGAAGAACAAGGAUGAGAGUAACUGCUCGUCCCUUGACGGUAUCUAACCAGAAAGCCAUGGCUAACUACGUGCCAGCCGCCGC